UAACGCAGACAGAGUGUCAGAGAUCUUCAACCAUGAUGGCUGGCUGUCCUUCGCACUCAGCAGAGAUGUGUCAAUCAAUCAAUGUUGAAGCAUUGCAGAGAAGCCAGCAAUCUAUGACAGCUCACAUCUAAAGAUUGACUAACGCGGGCAGAGCGUCGUAUCUUCAAUCUUGAUGUCUGGCUGUCAAUUCGCACUCAGCAGAGAUGUGUCAAUCAAUCAAUGUUGAAGCAUCGCAGAGUGGCCAGUAAUCUAUGACAGCUCACAUCUAAAGGUCAAGUGACCCAAGCCUCUGUUCGUCAAACUGAGCAGAGGAAAUAUCUCCAAGCUGUCGUUGUUGAAGCUCUGGAGACCGUCAAGCAAGCUGCCUUGACAACUCAGUCAACUUCCUGUGUACAGAUCAACUAAAGCAUACAGAGCUAUAGGACUUCAAUCGUGAUGGCUUGCUGUCCACCGCACUCAGCAGAGAUGUGUCAAUCUAUCAAUAUUGAAGCAACGCAGAUUGGCCAGCAAUCUAUGAUAGCUCACAUCUAAAGAUCAAGUGAGCCAAGUCUUUGUUAGUCAAACUGAGCAGAGGAAAUGUCUCCAAGCUGUCGUUGAUGAAGCUCUCGAGACCGUCAAGCAAGCUGCCUUGACACUUCUGUCAACUUCCUGUGCACAGAUCAACUAAUCCAGAAACAUCACCCCAUGGAGUGAGAAAAUUAAGAAUUGCGAUUCCGCUUGCUGGUCACUGCCUAUGGCACCCAGAGCUACCAGCCAAUAAAGUCAUGGUGUGGGAGCCCACCCAAGGCAGGUGCCAUCCCCGAAGCCCCACCAAGAUCGAGGAUGUAGGGGUAAACAACCAGGAAUAGCUAAUCAGCUGUAUUCAGGGUUGAGUUGUGUGGCGACUCAAACAUGGGGCAACGCAACGACUUUGCUUGACUGAGUGAAGGAGUAAUCCAGACAGAGAGUGUCGAAUCGAUCAUCGCCUCGAGCAGUCGAUCAACCUUUUUGCAGAUCAAAAUCCAGACAGAGAGUGUCGGAUCUCGCAAGGAGUCAGCGACCAUCACUGGUAGAGAUGAACAACCUCUUUGGAUCAAAAUCAAGACCAUGAGUGUCGAAGAUCAUAAUCCAGUCAGAGAGUGUCGGAUCUCGCAAGGAGUCAGCGUCCAUCACUGGUCUGUACUGGGGAUCUUUCAUGAUCAUCAAAGGUGCCUUGAGAUGUCUUCAUUUGAGCCAAUGGAGUCCGGACUUGGUGGAUGAUGAGGACUUCUAUCCAGUUGAUGAUAUGAGGGCUAGAGAAACAUGUUCUGCUUGGUCAUGCCACUUCACAUUCAAAAUAUCUCGUAAGAACACCAAUUUUAUUGCCUUUUGAUACCAAAGAUGACAUUGGAUUCCUAUAAUUUGUAGUUGUUUUGAGUCGUUUGUUUUUAGAAGAGGUCAAAGGUCAGGUCUAUGUCAAGGUUCUUGGGGUCUGGUCAUGGUCAAGGGCAAAUUACUGCAGGAGAUAAACAGAUUAAGUUUUCAAAGCAAUGCCAAACCGAAACUUUAUCAUCAAAGUUCUCUAAAACUUUGCAACAUUCACAUCUAAGCCUUAACAUUUCUGUGACAAUGGUUUUAAAAAUCAUACUAGGUAGAUAUAAAUUCACUUUCAAAGCCCUCAAAAGUUUAUCAUAAAAAAAUACUGCUUCUCCAAAAGCUUAUGACAUUCCCAACUAAAUCUUAUUCUAGGGUAGGAACAUUCACAUCUAAACCUUUACAUUUAAAUCUUUUCGGAGACCAUGGUGGUAAAAAUCAUACUAGAUAGAUCUCGUUUCCUUUUUUAACGCACGCCUGAACAAAAAGUUAAUCAUACAAAAUUAUGCUUCUCAAAAACCUUAUGACAUUCUAAACUAAAAUCAAACUAAAUGUGGAUCUUGCCAUGUAAACAUUUAAAUCUUUGGAGAAUGCUUUUUUAUAAAUCAGACUAGGGUUGAACUUAAUUAGUUUUCAAUGCAUCUAAACAAAUAGGUUAAUGAUAAAAGUUUAUACUUCUCAAAAAGCUUGGAACAUUCACAACUAAAUCUUAUUCUAGAAUAUAUAUUUUAAAACCAAACAAUAGGUAGAUCUAAACACUUGCAACGUUAACAUUUCAAUCUUUAGAGAACGCAGACAAGAUAGAACUAAACAAAUCUGUGGAAAAAAAUCCAAACAUAAUUUUUUGGAUAACAGCUCAAAUUUUGUGAAGCUUGGGUUAUUCACAACUAAAUCUUAUUUAAAAAAAAUCACACAAGGUAGAAUUGAACACCCUCGAACAGAAAGUUUUUAAUAAAUGUUUUAACUUGGGACAUUCCCCUCAAAUCUUACAUUAGGAUUUGAAAAUCAGAUCAAAAAGAACUAAAUGUCUAAGACAUUUAAAAUCCUAUCUGAGGAUAUGGCUUUUAAAAUCAGACUAGGUAAAACUAAACUGCAUGUUCUUCAAGUUCAAGUUUUGAGUAAGCAUGUAUAGUGAAAUUUUCAGCAUUCAAUAUGUUCUAACUAGGGAUAAUUACUUGUUAACUCAAUCUCCAUUUUGUGUCAAAGGUCAAAAGUUGAUCAGCCAAAAUUUAAAUAAUUGCAUGAAAGGUCAUAGGUCAUUUCAAGGUUUCAAAGUGAUAAAUUGGUCUCAAGUUUUGUAGGAAAAUUUACAGCACAAAGACAUCAAACAAUAGGGCUAUUCUUUUAACCAGUGAUGCUAUUUACAGAAAAAAAUUAGUGAACUUAUGUGUUACCUAAAACAGGGGUUUGAACUCGCGAGUCAAAAUAAGUUUCUGCCACAAUUAGCACAUUUUUUAAAGUCAAUCUCUGACAAAAAGUGAAACCAGUCCCUAAUUAUUGUUUGGAAAUAAUUCAAGGUGGGAAUAAAGUUUUGUCGUUCUUCGAGGCUAUUUCAGUGCAAAUCAAGUGAACGUAUUCAUUCAAAACCUUCAAUUUAGGAAACAGUUGUGCCCUAAAUUGCAAAGAAAUUCAGUCCCUCAUUUAUUAGGUAAUAAUUUGAGGGGAAACAAAUGCAAUACAGCAUGCUCGUAGUUUUUUCCCUUAGUACAAGACCAGCAAUGUUGUCGUACGAACCAAGCAAAAGUAUUCCUUUUAAGAAACUUCAAUUUAGGAAACAGUUGUGCCCUAAAUUGCAAAGACCUUUAGUCCCUCAUUUUGUUAGAUAAUUUGAGUGGAAAUAAGUUAUACACAAGUUUUGUCGUACUGUAAGGUCAAUAAUAUUUCAGCGAAAAACUAAGCAAAAUUUACUUUUUUCUACUGCAAGGCCAACAACGUUCGAUUGUAACCAAAGUCAAAGUAUUCCUAAUAAGACUGCAAUUUAGGAAACAGUUGUGCCCUAAAUUGCAAAGUAUUGUAGUCCCUCAUGUUAUUAGAUAAUAAUUUGAGGGGAAUAACUUGGCACAAACUGGUUUUUUUCUUUCUUUUUUCUAUUCUUUCUCUCUCUUGCAAGGCAAAAAAUGUUCAAUGCAAUCCAAGCGAAAGUAUUCCAACCAAGUUUUCAAUUUAGGAAACAGUAGUGCCCUAAAUUUCAAAGAUAUUUUAGUCCCUCAUUUUAUUAGAUAAUAAUUUGAGGGGAAUUACGUGUGCCAAAUUGUGUUUGUUUUUAUUCUUUCUCUUGCUAAGUUAAAAAUGUUAAGCGCAAACAAAGCGAAAGUAUUCCUUCCAAUUUUUUUAAUUUAGGGAACAGUUGUGACCUAAAUUACAAAGAUCUUUGGAACCUCAUUGUAUUAGAUAAUAAUUUGAGGGGGAAUUAAUCGUCAAAAAUUUUUUUGGUUUUUCUAUUUCUGCAAAGACAAAAAGGCUGACGCAAACUAAGUUAAACUAUUCCUUUUAAACGCCAAUUCAGGAAACAGAAAUCAUUGCCGUGUUGUGUAGUAGUCUAGAAAGUAAAUCAAAUGCUUCAGUUCUUGAUCAAUCUUAGCUGUGCUGAAAUGUUUUGUCGUUAUGGUCAAAGUCGGUCUCUUUUAGGAUGGUAGUCGUUAUAUAAAUCCAAUGUCAUCUUUGUUAUCAUUUAUUGGCAAACAUAGUGAGAAAACCUCACUAUUUAGCUCACUAAAACUUUUUACAAAAAUUGCGACGUUUGUGCAAUACGUCAAGCAUUUUUCUCAAAGCCUUUGGUACAUGCAAUGUGUUUUGCACAUCGUCAACUUUGUUUUUAAUCAAAGUUGGCCAAAAACCAGUUCACUUGUAGCCAUUUUGUCAGUUGACUACAUCUGAACGUCCAAAUUGCGGCCCCAUGGAAAGCAAGGGGGAAAUUAGUGACCAUUGCAGAAUUUGUUUCUCCAACCAGCACAUCAUCAUCUGGACAGAAGUUGUCAUCAUCUGUCGAGUUAGGAUCCCAUUGGAACAAGCGUCGACAACUCUUGGCACCACCAGUGCGGCUUGGUUACGAGACAACAAUCGGUGAAAUCUUAGGCCCUUGAGGGCACCAGUUCAUUUAAGCAAGCAACAACUACCUUCUGCUCAACACUUGCGUCAAAAAACAAAGCGCAGAAUUGCGUCUAGCUCGUUUAUUUUUUGUGAGACAUUACAACUUUGAAGUAGAAACUAGGAGUACAUCCAAUUGAACUUCACUGAACAGAAAACAUAUCAACCAUUGCACUUGGGCCUUUAGAUCAUCACAAGUUCCAGGUGGCCGAGGGGGUCCACCAACAGGCACAGGUGUUUGCACAACUCUGCCUUUUUUUUUGGUCAAAAUU